UGGGCAAUGGCGGGCGCCCCUCCCCCCGCCUCGCUGCCGCCUUGCAGUUUGAUCUCAGACUGCUGUGCUAGCAAUCAGCGAGACUCCGUGGGCGUAGGACCCUCCGAGCCAGAGAUGGGAUCUUACUACAUUGCCCAGGCUGAAGUGCAGUGGCUAUUAACAGCUGUAAUCAUAAUGCAUUGCAGCUUUGAAUUCCUGGGCUUGAGCGACCUCCCCACCUUAGCCUCCUGAGUAGCUGAGACUACAGGAAAUAAACUUAAGGAGAAAGAAGAAACAAAGAUGGGGCGGAAAUGUAAGAGAGGCAUUCUAAUAUAUGCAUUCUUCAUAACAACUGUGUGAAACAUAUUAAUAUCCUCAUUGUUAACGAUGAAGAAACUAAAUCUCAGGAAGAAAAACUAAGUGAAGACAAAAGAAGGAUUUGAACUGAGGUUUGUCAGACUCUCGGGACCAUGCUGUUGAAACCACUAAACCACGCUGCCUCUGGGUCACUUGAUUAUUCUGGGAGAUUCUGGGAGUCUUUUCUCCAACACUCCAGUGGCAUCUGACUAUGUGAGCUGAUAAGAUCUAUAGAUCUCCCCAGCAGUUGUUGAAAAGCAAGAGCAGGAACCGAGAGAAAGCCCCUUCUUUUAGUCGAAAACUCUUACUCUGCUUAGGAAAACCAUGAACCCAAACAGUGUGGGUCAGCCUUUCAAUAUGCAAAACGGACGAAGGCUGAAGCAAUCACAUGCCAUGCACAACUGUCAAACGGCAAGAAUGAAUGAUGGAUGGAAAGAAUGGGAAUGUGUACGUUAUCUUGCUCCACUUUGGACAGUCAUGAUCAUGGAAGAUAGAAGAGGGAUUUCUUAACAUUGGUCAGAGAAGAGGGUAUCAGUUAGCUGGAAGUGCUACUCUGAAAAACUGAUGGCCCUUUGCAGGUGUGACCCUGAGCUCUGCUGGAUUUCUUGUGAAGAAAACUCCAAGGAAUGGAUGAAUGCCUGGAAACUUACUGCUGGAAGUCAUAAGGCAAUGACAAGAAAAUAGCAUAUCAUUGGAAGACUUGACCCAUGGGAUCUAUAAAUUCCUAGGGAAGCUCCUUACUAUAAUUUGUUUGGUUUCUAUGGAAUCCAACAAGAAAAGAAAUAGCGAAACAUGUGGGUUGUCUCCUCUUUGGCACUAAGCCUGGGAGAAUAUGAAGAUAUCUGAAAACAAAGAGGCUUCCUUCAGGUGUUCAGGAGGGGGCUAACACUGCCUACUUGUAUGUCAAGGGCCCAUGGGAGUAGACACUCCCAGAAUGCUACCACUUGGAUUCUCCAGGGAUCAUAUGUGAUACCAAUCAGCUGACAAAGAAAAUAACAACCCAUCUAAGGGGAUUCAGCAGCUAGAAAGAAAAUGAGUAUGCCAAGCAAACUGAAUACACGACCAGCAAAAUAGAACUUCAAAAGGAGACAAAAUACAACAUUCUCUCUCUCUCUGUGUGUGUGUGUGUGUGUGUGUGUGUGUGUGUUUGCAUGUAAAUAACAAAAUUCAAGUUCUGGACACAAUUUUUAGAGCUAAACACAUGACCUUCCAACUAAACUUUUUAUUAGAUAUCAAAGAAGCUGGUCACUGUUGAGGUGAAGAUCAAGUGCAAGAUACAUUUUGAGGCACAGAGCAAAAAUGUAAAGAAUCAGAAAAAGACAAGAGACUUGAGGAUUUAAUCCAAACAACUGAACAGCUAAAAACAAGAGCUACAGGGGCAGAAGAAGAAAAAGUUUAAGAAAGAGACAGUAUAUUAUUUUCUCUGAGAAGAGGUAAAGCUGGAAACCUGUUGUAAGCAAGAUUUAUUGAAUUUUCUCAUCAUAGUCUUAAAAGAGCAGUACUCCAAUAGGUCUUGUUUACUAAAGGAAGAUUUGUUGAAAGAAUCAAACAACUGAUGGAGGCUGAUGAAAAGAAUACAUGACGAUCAAUGACACUUGGUACACACGUUCACACUCACAGACACAUACACAAACGUUGGAUAGGAAAAGGCUGGCUGGCAACAUGUGGCAACAGUGCUCUGUAAGGACUCUUGAAGUAGAAUAAAUAGUCUUACUGAAA
rnacentral:lncRNA from 10 species